GUGCUCGCUUUGGCAACACAUAUACUAAAACUGGAAUGAUACGGAGAAGAUUAGCAUGGCCCCUAUGCAAGGAUGACACGUAAAUUUGUGAAGUGUUCCAUAUUUUU